rnacentral:rRNA from 1 species
AUUGAAUGCUGGCGGCAGGCCUAACACAUGCAAGUCGAGCGAGCGGCGGACGGGUGAGGAAUGUCUGGGAAACUGCCUGAUGGAGGGGGAUAACUACUGGAAACGGUAGCUAAUACCGCAUACCAUCAGAUGUGCCCAGAUGGGAUUAGCUAGUAGGUGGGGUAAGGGCUCACCUAGGCGACAAUCCCUAGCGGGUCGGAGAGGAGGACCAGCAACACGGGAAAGGAGACACGGUCCAGACUCUGACGGGGGGAAGCAGUGGGGAAUAUUGCCCAUGGGGCGCAAGCCUGAUGCAGCAAUGCCGCGUGUGUGAAGAAGGCCUUCGGGUUGUAAAGCACUUUCAGCGGGGAGGCGUUACCCACAGAAGAAGCACCGGCUAACUCCGUGCCAGCAGCCGCGGUAAUAC